rnacentral:rRNA from 1 species
UACGAAGGGGGCUAGCGUUGCUCGGAAUUACUGGGCGUAAAGGGAGCGUAGGCGGCUAGUUUAGUCAGAGGUGAAAGCCCAGGGCUCAACCUUGGAAUUGCCUUUGAUACUGGCUAUCUUGAGUACGGAAGAGGUAUGUGGAACUCCGAGUGUAGAGGUGAAAUUCGUAGAUAUUCGGAAGAACACCAGUGGCGAAGGCGACAUACUGGUCCGUUACUGACGCUGAGGCUCGAAAGCGUGGGGAGCAAACAGG